rnacentral:rRNA from 1 species
AUUGAACGCUGGCGGCAUGCCUUACACAUGCAAGUCGAACGGCAGCACGGGAGCAAUCCUGGUGGCGAGUGGCGAACGGGUGAGUAAUAUAUCGGAACGUGCCCAGUCGUGGGGAUAACGUAGCGAAAGCCACGCUAAUACCGCAUACGACCUAUGGAUGAAAGCGGGGGAUCGCAAGACCUCGCGCGAUUGGAGCGGCCGAUAUCAGAUUAGGUAGUUGGUGAGGUAAAGGCUCACCAAGCCGACGAUCUGUAGCUGGUCUGAGAGGACGACCAGCCACACUGGGACUGAGACAGGCCCAGACUCCUACGGGAGGCAGCAGUGGGAAUUUUGGACAAUGGGCGCAAGCCUGAGUCCAGCAAUGCCGCGUGCAGG